rnacentral:lncRNA from 1 species
CAUAGCACCCAACAUAUUUUUAAAGUUGGAAGUUGGACUCUCUCUAAAGCUAAACAGUGCUACUACUUGUACAAUAUGGGCUAACAAGGUUGGCUUACAAUGUGACGUAGCAAGGGCAAAAAAGGGGGAAAAAUGACAAAAGACAGAAUUCAAAAGUUAAAUACGGAGAAACGGUGAGAGCAUGUUAUUUCUCCCUCUCUCCAAUUUUCUACCAAAAGCAAAACGUUAAAGGAAAAGGAAAACACUCUCUCCAAUUUCUCCCCAAAUUUGAAGAUGGUUGAAGCCAUUCGAAACGUGAUUUUCGAAACACUAUCGGAGAUUGACAAAUUUGUCACCGUCUCCUGCCUACAACCACACCGCGAACUCGUCGACUGGGACUUUCCUCAGAUCUACAAUAUAAAUUCCACCAAAUUUCAACACAUUCGGCUUGACAGUAAGGUACGUUGUUUAAAUAACUUUAAGGUGUAUGCCAUUUGAUGUACGUAAAAUCUAGUAGCAGUAUUGAAUCCUAGGGCUUUUUUUUUUCUCUACACACAAGCAUUGGGGGUAUAUUGUUCUUCUUUAAUAAAAUCUGGUCGGUUGAUAAUCCUAAAAAUCUUCAACGCUUAGACAUUUUUGGUAGUUUUGCAUAAAACUGGAGUGCUGAACCCAACCGAAAUUUUCUUGAAGUUUUGGAAUUUUUUAAGAUUUUUGAAACUAGAUUGAAGUCAAUGACCCAAUUGAGGAAUUUAAUCUAGAUUUUUUGGGAUUUUUUUGGUAUAUUUGCACAAAAUUGGACUGGUAAACCCAACCAAAAUUUUCUUGAACUACUAGGAUUUUUUGGGAUUUUUUAAACGAAAUUGAAGUCAAAGACCCAAUUGAGAAAUUUAAUACCAUAAACUUUUGUGCUUUGGAACAAUUCCAAGAUGAUCAACUUUACCUAAACACGUUCCAUUGUAGAGGAUAAUACUUGCACAUAUAAAUUGUAGCAUUUUCCUAACUGGGAUCUCUAAUUCGAUUCCGUAAUAAUAUUACUGUUAGGCUUCCAAAUAGGCAAUACCCGUUAGUUUGGGGGGGGGGGGGGAUAACAUGUUACAUAAUACGAUGGAGUUGUGAAAUUUGAAACUAAAUUGAAGGUCCAUCCAACAUAGAGUCUAAGCAAACUAAAACACCCCAGGUGCUGUUCUAUAUCCUUCUCAAUUACAAGAAGCUCAGUAAAAGAUUAGCUUUAUAUCAAGCAAACUAAAACACCCCCAGGUGCUGCUCUAUAUCCUUGUCAAAAAGUUGCAUUAAGGUUGUAUGUGGUGAUGCCAUUGUAGUCUAGCAAGUGUUCGGAAUGAGUGGUCAUACUUCACAUUUGUCAUUUAACAUUUUGUUGUUGAUGUCUAAAUCCUAUAUCAGAAUGCCAGGAAAGACCUCUGGAGUAUGUCACUGCUGCAGGAGUAAGGCCUACUUCUUUGCCGAAUGCUCGACAAAAGUCUGAUGCCCAACGUGUAACCAAGGUUUUCAAAAGUGUUUCAAGGUAAAACCGGCUACAGCUAACAAAGGUAAAUUCUUCUAAUGUUGCAAUCAGAAAUGUGAUUUUUGGGAGUGGUGCAAAGAAGGGGAAUCAAGUGACGAAACCAAGAACAUUGGUGUAUGUUGCCUAAGCCCGAUCCGGUCGAAUCAGUUAACGAUAUGUCCUGCAUAUUUCAGUCUCAAGUUCGGCUUAACGAUGAACAUGAACUCCACAUUUCUGUGAACGUGACAAUCCGCAUGGGAAAAUCAAGCGCCGAAUGGAGCACCAAAGGCAAGGGGCAAGCUUGAUUAGUGGUGGAUUUUUGCUUAGUUAUCUCAAAUCUGUUGUUUAAGUGUAAGGAAAAUCAAUGUUGUAGAUUUAUCAUGACAAUCUGUCGUCUAUGUCAGUAAGGUACAACUUAUCAACUUAUCAAUGUAGUAGAUUUAUCAUGACAUUGUCUUGAAAUAACUGGCAACGUGGCGGUAAGUAGACUAAUUUGUAUAUUCGUAGAGAAUUAGUUGUCUAGAAUUGCUUCAGCCGAAUCACACGACCAAGAAUAUCACUGAUUUGAGCUUGCAUUAACAUA